UACUCCUACGGGAGGCAGCAGUAGGGAAUCUUCCACAAUGGGCGCAAGCCUGAUGGAGCAACACCGCGUGAGUGAAGAAGGGUUUCGGCUCGUAAAACUCUGUUGUUGGAGAAGAACGUGCGUAAGAGUAACUGUUUACGCAGUGACGGUAUCCAACCAGAAAGUCACGGCUAACUACGUGCCAGCAGCCGCGGUAAUACA
rnacentral:rRNA from 1 species